rnacentral:rRNA from 1 species
GAUGAACGCUGGCGGCGUGCCUAACACAUGCAAGUCGAGCGAACAGACCAGGAGUUUGCUCCUCUGACGUUAGCGGCGGACGGGAGAGUCACAUGUGGAUAACCUACCUAUCAGACUGGGAUAAUUACGGGAAAUCGGAGCUUAUACCGGAUAAUAUAUUGCACCGCAUGGUUCAAUAGUGAAAGACGGUUUUGCUGUCACUAAUAGCUGGAUCCGCGCCGCAUUAGCUAGUUGGUAAGGUAACGGCUUACCAAGGCUACGAUGCGUAGCCGACCUGAGAGGGUGGUCGGCCACACGGGAAGUGAGACACGGCCCAGACUCCUGCGGGAGGCCGCAGUAGGGAAUCUUACGCAAUGGGCGAGAGCCUGACAGAGCAACGCCGCGUAAGUGAUGAAGGUCUUCGGAUCGUAAAACUCUGUUAUUAGGGGAGAACAAAUGUGUAAGUAACUGUGCACGUCUUGACGGUACCUGGUCAAAAAGCCACGGCUAACUACGUG